GCCUACGGGAGGCAGCAGUGGGGAAUAUUGGACAAUGGGCGAAAGCCUGAUCCAGCCAUGCCGCGUGUGUGAAGAAGGUCUUCGGAUUGUAAAGCNCUUUAAGUUGGGAGGAAGGGCAGUAAGCUAAUACCUUGCUGUUUUGACGUUACCGACAGAAUAAGCNCCGGCUAACUUCGUGCCAGCAGCCGCGGUAAU
rnacentral:rRNA from 1 species